UUUACCUAGCCAGUGCUACCUUCUCUCUCAUCUCCUCCUGGUGAUGAGAUCAACCCCUCCAGAUCUUAGAGCAAAGAAGAGGGGCUUGCUUGUUCCUUGAUGCUUUGAAACUGUGGUUUUGUGUUGUUCACUUCCCCCAUCUUCAAUUUAGGUGAGUGGUUCUUGAUCCUGGCCACUCAUUACAGUCAUCUGGGGCUGUGAUUGCCUCUGAUCCCCAAACUGGCAGCAUCAGCAUUACCUGGAAACUGUCUAAGUCAGUGGUUCUUAUCAUUGGCUGCACAACAGAAUUUCCCAGAAUACUUAAAAAAUAAGGAAUAAAGUUUUAUUUUGAUUCAGUUCUAGAGACUGAGAAGCUCAGGAGCAUGACACUGGCAUCUUCUUGGCUUCUGGUGAGGGCCUCCUGCUCCUUCAACUCAUGGCAGAAAGUGGAAGGACAAGAGAGCAUGUGCACAAGUGAGAAAAAGGGGCUGAACUCCCAUGAUAGCUAAUCCAUUUCCAAGAGAAGGGCAUUAAUGUAUUCACAAGGGCUUCAUUACCAUGGCUCAAACACCUUCCACAAGACCCCAUCUCCUAACAGAGUUAUACUGGGACCAAGUCUCAUCUUGAGUUUUGCUGAGGACAAACCAUAUGGGGAGUGGUGAGAGUUUGCAUUUCUAACAAGUUCCAAGGUAAUGUUGAGGCUACUGGUAUAGGGACUAUAGAUUUUGCCAAUUCAGUUACUGACUUCCACAACACAGUUGUCAUUACCUAGUUCCCAGUUGUCCUCUCUAUCUCAAUACCCCCUGCCAUCAUCCUUGGUGACUUCAGUGUCUACAUUAAUACCACUGUUUCAGAGGCUCUGAGACCUUCACUUCCACUCUUUUAGCUAUCAACCCAGUACAUAGCUUUUCUGCAAGCCUAGCCACAUAUUACCCUAAAAGGGCCAGAGCUCUUAAAUCAGCCACUUCUACUUUUUCAUGCUCUUUAAGCGUCUUCUUCGUCCUAACUAGGAAGUCCAUUUUUUCAAACAAUUUCACUCUGCUUGUCCAUUAAUUAUUUUCAUGGCAUCUUAUCACUUACAAUGACUUUAAAUGCCAGCUCUAAUGUCCCUGAGUCCAAAUGUGUAUUUCCAACUGAAAGCUCUCUUCUGAGUUUCUGCCCAGUAUGUCCAAUUAGCUAGGUGACAUCUCCCCUUGGAUAAGUCAUAGGCAUCUCAAGCUUUAAAUAUACAUAAUAGAUUUAUUUUAUUUUGAAUUCUUCUAACUUCACUGAACUCAGAUCCUCUAUCAGUCAUCCCUCAUCUCAGAGAAUGUCAGUGUCAUCUACCCAGUUGCUUAUUCUAAGCAUCUAGGAGUUAGCCUUGGUUUCUCCCUGUCCCAUCAACUCCACCUUGAUGACAAUGCCUGACAUUCAUCACCUCCACUGCUAAUAUACUGAUCCA
rnacentral:lncRNA from 1 species